rnacentral:rRNA from 1 species
GACGAACGCUGGCGGCGUGCUUAACACAUGCAAGUCGAACGGUGACGGAGAGCUUGCUCUCCUGAUCAGUGGCGAACGGGUGAGUAACACGUGGGCAACCUGCCCCAGACUUCGGGAUAACGCUUCGAAAGAGGUGCUAAUACCGGAUACGAACUCCUUGGGCAUCCUUGGAGUUGGAAAGUUUCUCGGUCUGGGAUGGGCCCGCGGCCUAUCAGCUUGUUGGUGAGGUAACGGCUCACCAAGGCGACGACGGGUAGCCGGCCUGGGAGGGCGACCGGCCACACUGGGACUGAGACACGGCACAGACUCCUACUGGAGGCAGCAGUGGGGAAUAUUGCGUAAUGGGCGAAAGCCUGACGCAGCAACGCCGCGUGAGGGAUGACGGCCUUCGGGUUGUAAACCUCUUUCAGCAGGGAAGAAGCGAAAGUGACGGUACCUGCAGAAGAAGCACCGGCUAACUACGUGCCAGCCGCCGCCGUAA